AGAUUGAACGCUGGCGGCAGGCCUAACACAUGCAAGUCGAGCGGUAGAGAGGUGCUUGCACCUCUUGAGAGCGGCGGACGGGUGAGUAAUGCCUAGGAAUCUGCCUAGUGGUGGGGGAUAACGUUCGGAAACGGACGCUAAUACCGCAUACGUCCUACGGGAGAAAGCGGGGGACCUUCGGGCCUCGCGCCAUUAGAUGAGCCUAGGUCGGAUUAGCUAGUUGGUGAGGUAAUGGCUCACCAAGGCGACGAUCCGUAACUGGUCUGAGAGGAUGAUCAGUCACACUGGAACUGAGACACGGUCCAGACUCUACGGGAGCCAGCAGUGGGGAAUAUUGGACAAGUGGGCGAAAGCCUAGAUCCAGCCAUCGCCGCGUGUGUGAAGAAGGUCUGGAUUGUAAAGCAACGUUUAGUGGAGGUAAGGUUAGUAACUAGUUACGUGACUAACUUGAACGUUACCGAACUAGAAUAACGCAACCGGUCUAAACGUUCGACCGUCCAAGCAACGCCG
rnacentral:rRNA from 1 species